rnacentral:rRNA from 1 species
UAAUACGAAGGGGGCUAGCGUUGUUCGGAAUUACUGGGCGUAAAGCGCGCGCAGGCGGUUCGAUAAGUUGGGGGUGAAAUCCCCGGGCUCAACCCGGGAAUGGCCUUCAAGACUGUCGAGCUAGAGGACGAGAGAGGUGAGUGGAAUUCCCAGUGUAGAGGUGAAAUUCGUAGAUAUUGGGAAGAACACCGGUGGCGAAGGCGGCUCACUGGCUCGUUUCUGACGCUGAGGCGCGAAAGCGUGGGGAGCAAACAGGAUUAGAUACCCUGGUAGUCCACGCCGUAAACGAUGAGUGCCAGGUGUCGGGGGACUUAGUCCUUCGGCGCCGCAGCUAACGCCUUAAGCACUCCGCCUGGGGAGUACGGCCGCAAGGUUA